CUUCAGGGUAGUUAUACUCUGGAAUAGGCUUCCAAGGGAGGCUGUGGAAUCCCCAUCAUUGGAAGCUAUUAAAAACAAGUUGGACAUAAUCUGCCAGGGAGGGUGUAGAUUUAUUUGGUCCUGCAACAGUACAGGGGGCUGGACUUGAUGA